GUGCAUCUAUUUGACAGAGCUGGAGCAGUUACUGUCUGCUGCUAAGUUUCCCACUACAGAUGCAAGAAAAAAGUGUUCUUGUACUUUCUGUCUAACUAUAGCAGCCAAGACUGAACACGGGGAAAACGUAC
rnacentral:snoRNA from 1 species